rnacentral:rRNA from 1 species
AAACGAUGGACACUAGAUAUUAGGGGUAUCGACCACCAUACGCGCCGCAGCAAAAGCGAUAAGUAUCACGCUUGGGGAAUACGGCGCGCAAGACGUCGAAAGUCAAAUGAAUAGACGGGGACCCGCACAAGCGCUAGAGCAUGUGGAUUAAGUUCGAUACUAACCGAAGAACGCUUACCCAGACCAGAGCAUCGAGGCGACCGGCUAUCAAAGUAGCAUUGAGCACCACAAGGGCGGCCCAGAGACACCUUUUGCAUGGCUGUUGUCAGCUUGUUCUGUGAAGUUUUUGGUUAAGUCCAGCCACGAGCGCAACCCUCGUUCUAUGUUGCCAACAGUUGAAGCUGGCAAUUCAUAGGAGACCCGCGGCGCAACUCCGGAGGAAGGUGAGGAUGACGUCAAGUCAGCAUGCCGGUUACGUCUGGGGCUUCACACAUGCUACCAAUGCAUGCAACAGAAGGGGAGCAACACUGCGAGGUUGAGCGAAUCCCAAAAAUACAGUCAUCAGUUCAGAUUGCAGUCUGCAACAUCGACUGCAUGAAG